UACGUAGGGCGCAAGCGUUGUCCGGAAUUAUUGGGCGUAAAGAGCUCGUAGGCGGUCUGUUACGUCUGCUGUGAAAACCCAGGGCUUAACCCUGGGCUUGCAGUGGAUACGGGCAGACUAGAGGCAGGUAGGGGAGAAUGGAAUUCCCGGUGUAGCGGUGAAAUGCGCAGAUAUCGGGAGGAACACCGGUGGCGAAGGCGGUUCUCUGGGCCUGACCUGACGCUGAGGAGCGAAAGCGUGGGGAGCGAACAGG
rnacentral:rRNA from 1 species